rnacentral:rRNA from 1 species
UACGGGGGGGGCAAGCGUUGUUCGGAAUUACUGGGCGUAAAGGGCUCGUAGGCGGCCAACUAAGUCCGACGUGAAAUCCCCAGGCUUAACCUGGGAACUGCGUCGGAUACUGGAUGGCUUGAAUUCGGGAGAGGGAUGCAGAAUUCCAGGUGUAGCGGUGAAAUGCGUAGAUAUCUGGAGGAAUACCGGUGGCGAAGGCGGCAUCCUGGACCGACAUUGACGCUGAUGAGCGAAAGCUAGGGGAGCAACGGG